AUUGAACGCUGGCGGCAUGCCUUACACAUGCAAGUCGAACGGCAGCACGGGUGCUUGCACUUGGUGGCGAGUGGCGAACGGGAGAGUAAUAUAUCGGAACGUACCUUAUUGUGGGGGAUAACGCAGCGAAAGCUGUGCUAAUACCGCAUAAUCCCUAAGGGGGAAAGCGGGGGACCGUAAGGCCUCGCGCAAUUAGAGCGGCCGAUAACUGAUUAGCUAGUUGGUGAGGUAAAGGCUCACCAAGGCAACAGUCAGUAGCUGCUCUGAGAGGACGACCGGCCACACUGGGACUGAGACACGGCCCAGACUCCUGCGGGAGGGAGCAGUGGGAAAUUUUGGACAAUGGGGGCAACCCUGAUCCAGCAAUGCCGCGUGAGUGAAGAAGGCUUUCGGGUUGUAAAGCUCUUUUGUCAGGGAAGAAACAGCAGCUCUAACACAGUUUGCGAAUGACGGUACCUGAAGAAUAAGCACCGGCUAACUACGUGCCAGCAGCCGCCGUAA
rnacentral:rRNA from 1 species